UUUCUGUAUUUAUCUGUACAUGUCUGUAGUACAUACUGUUUGCACCCCUCGUGGGGAGUUGGUGCACGUGCGUAACACAUCUGAACCCUUUCCCUCCCUCUCUUGGCCUCCAGUUGUGGUGGGUAGUAGGCUCUCUCCACUUUCAGCCUGGCACUUCGGUGGGUCUCUCCAUCUUGGAGCGCGGGUUUCCUCAUAGUGUGCCUCUGCCCCAGGAGUAGGGGACCGGUUGUGGGCUGCGCCCAGAGUUGCUCCAUGCCCCUGCCUGGUGGAGGAGGGCUGGAUUCUGUCCUCUUCUGAACUUGCAGCAGGCUGGGUGGCAGGCUGCGCUGUUUUCCUCUUAGCAGCUUGGAGCUUGUCCACGAGGAAGGAUGCGCUUCGUCCUCACAUCUGUCCUCAGCCUACCCAUCCCGCCCAGGAUGCCUGGUGGGGAUCUUCUCAUUGCCCUGGUGGGCCUGUUGCCCUGGUCCUGCACCAGGCCCUGGGAGGCCAGGCUCCUGUCCUGCAUCUCCUGCAAGGGGUAUGGCUUCAGGCUUCUCAGUUGCUCUGAGAUCUCUCACCUCUCUGAUGGGUUCAAGGUCAUAAUUUUACAGAUUAUCUGGCUUAUUUGUUCCAUUUGGGGUGAUUUUCUCUCCAGUUUCUUGCCUUCCAAGUUGAGGUUGGAUCAUUGUUGCUACAGAGCAUGUUGGGAGGGGUGAUUGUUGGUGAAAACUUGGUGUCACCCACGGGAGUCAAUGUGGACGAGGUGCAGGGCCUGGUCUCUGUGACUGGGUUUGCUGAACUAGCCUGAGUCAAGUCCAGCAGAUUUGGGUGGGGUCCUCUUGUCUAGACAGCAAUGACUCAGCCAACUUCAUGUGUCUUGUCUGGCCCCAGGCUGGAGUAAGGCUGACCCUCGCUGUGGCCUGGAGAACGGUGACCUCCCAGCCCUGGUUUCUGAGCAUGGCAAGUCCUUGUGGAGUUCAGCGACAGCUUCGGUGCACAGUUCUCAUGGUAGACAAUUCACAAGUGUCUUUUAAGAAAGUAUUUCCCUUAAGAUACAACACAAAGAGAAAAGGUAUAAAACGAUACUUAAGAUGCCAGCGUGGUGCAGAGGACAGUGAGCCCUGACCCUGCACCCUAAAGACCUGGCAGUGGCUCUGGACCUGCUCUGGAGGGGCUGUGUCAGCGUGGGCUCCCUGCAGGGGCCCCACGUGCUCGUGG
rnacentral:lncRNA from 1 species